rnacentral:rRNA from 1 species
AGCGAAUAGAUACCCCGGUAGUCCACGCCCUAAACGAUGAUCACUCGAUGUGUGCGAUAACAACAAGUAACGCGUCCAAAACGCGAAAAGACAUUAAAGUUAGAUCCACCUGGGGAGGUACGGCCGCAAGGCUGAAACUACAAAGGAAAUUGACGGGGGCCCGGCACAAGCGGAGGAGCAUGUGGUUUAAAUUUCGAUGAUACGCGCGGAACCGUUACCAGGGCUUGAAAGUUAGUGAAUGACGUAGAAAUAUGUCAGCCAGCAAUGGCACGAAAACUAGGUGCUGCAUGGCUGUCGUCAGCUCGUGCCGUGAGGUGUUGGGUUUAAAGUCCCGCAACGAGCGCAACCCCCUAUCAUUAGUUGCUAGCAGGUCAUGCUGAGGACU